rfam:Armatimonadetes bacterium 13_1_40CM_64_14 13_1_40cm_scaffold_590, whole genome shotgun sequence.
GCGGGAGUAGCUCAGUGGUAGAGCGUCUCCUUGCCAAGGAGAAGGUCGCGGGUUCAAGUCCCGUCUCCCGCU